GUCCAGACUCCUACGGGAGGCAGCAGUGGGGGAUAUUGCACAAUGGGGGGAACCCUGAUGCAGCGACGCCGCGUGGGUGAAGAAGCGCCUCGGCGCGUAAAGCUCUAUCAGCAGGGAAGAAGAUGACGGUACCUGACUAAGAAGCCCCGGCUAACUACGUGCCAGCAGCCGCGGUAAUACGUAGGGGGCAAGCGUUAUCCGGAUUUACUGGGUGUAAAGGGAGCGUAGACGGCGAUGCAAGCCAGAUGUGAAAGCCCGGGGCCCAACCCCGGGACUGCAUUUGGAACUGUGUGGCUGGAGUGUCGGAGAGGCAGGCGGAAUUCCUAGUGUAGCGGUGAAAUGCGUAGAUAUUAGGAGGAACACCAGUGGCGAAGGCGGCCUGCUGGACGAUGACUGACGUUGAGGCUCGAAAGCGUGGGGAGCAAACAGGAUUAGAUACCCUAGUAGGC
rnacentral:rRNA from 1 species